rnacentral:rRNA from 1 species
CCUACGGGAGGCAGCAGUGGGGAAUAUUGGGCAAUGGAGGCAACUCUGACCCAGCAACGCCGCGUGAAUGAUGAAGGUCUUCGGAUUGUAAAGUUCUGUGAUGGGGGAUGAACACAAUGACGGUACCCCAAUAGCAAGCCACGGCUAACUACGUGCCAGCAGCCGCGGUAAUACGUAGGUGGCAAGCGUUAUCCGGAAUGACUGGGCGUAAAGGGUGCGUAGGUGGUUUGGUAAGUUAUAUGUGUAAGUCCUGGGCUUAACCUCGGCGGUACAUCGAAAACUAUUAGACUAGAGUGCAGGAGAGGUAAGUGGAAUUCCUAGUGUAGCGGUGGAAUGCGUAGAGAUUAGGAGGAACAUCAGGGGCGAAGGCGACUUACUGGACUGUAACUGACACUGAGGCACGAAAGCGUGGGGAGCGAACAGGAUUAGAUACCCCUGUAGUC